UCAAACGUCAACUGAUUUGAAAUGUUAAUAUGAGAGUGGAGACUAUGUGCGGAAGCUACUAAAUAUAUCCGACGCUGGGGUGCCAAUUUCGAAAAGUUAUAUGGAAUUUUCUACGGCUGGGGUAUGUCACACCCCACGUGUCGGACGCAGGGUUAAUGAGAUAUAUAAUGGGAUGACUUGUGCUGGUGCCUCUACCGUAAACAAAAUGGCACAGAUACGCAAGUUUGUUGAGUGAAAGGAGAAGGGGAGAAAUAGAAUCAAGCAGUGUUACCUAGAAAAAUUUGUUUUGAAGUUGGCUAUGUUGAAGUAUAUAUGCUUUUGAGCCUGAUUUAAAUUAACUGAGAUUUAUACAUUCUUUCAGUUCGUUUUGGAGGCUGUUGUAUAUUUUUGAGCCAAAAUAAAGGAUAUUUCUUUGA